rnacentral:lncRNA from 1 species
CAAUCCAGGUUACCAUGUGAAGCAGGUCUGCAGUGAGCAUACAGGCACAGUGUGUGCCCCCUGUCCCCCACAGACCUAUACCGCCCAUGCGAAUGGCCUGAGCAAGUGUCUGCCCUGCGGAGUCUGUGAUCCAGGACAAACCUGGUACCACAUGUGCAGGUGGUGGGUAGCUUCUGGCAAGUGAAGCUGUGCAGAAUCGGACCCAGGUACAUUGGGACGGCUGGAGGAUGGGUGCUUCCCCAAAUCCCUCGCUGGUGCCCCCAUGGCCUUGUCUCUGACGGCAGACAUGGGCCUGCUGACCUGGCAGGAGUGCUCCAGCUGGAAGGACACUGUGUGCAGAUGCAUCUCAGGUUACUUCUGUGAGAACCAGGAUGGGGGCGCCUGUUCCACAUGCUUGCCUCACGCCGCCUGCCCUCCAGGACAGAGGGUACAGAAGAGAGGUACUUACAGCCAUGACACUGUAUGUGCUGACUGCCUGACAGGAACCUUCUCACUUGGCGGGACUCAGGAGGAAUGCCUGCCCUGGACCAAGUGCAGUACCUUUCAACGGGAAGUAAAACAUGGGACCAGCAGCACAGACACCACCUGCUCCUUCCAGACCUUCUACAUCGUCGUUG